UGCUGGGGCAGGACGAAAAUCUCGGAGCUGGGCCUGAAGUGUUGGAGUCCAGCCUUGCUGGUCAUUGCCCAGGGCUGGGAGUAAGGGCGGGGCCGAAGCUUCCGACAGGGGUGUGAGCUCUAGAGGCCUAAGCCCUGGUGCGGACGGGAUUCGGAGAUGGGAGGAGAUCCAGGCACAGGUGCAAAGCGAGAAAGUGGUUGCAGCGUAGCUCUCUGAAGUCCUGCCUCUGGGGAGAUAAGAGAGCCGCUGUCCUGGAGGACCGAGAUAUCCUAGGGCCCUCAGCCCUCUGAUGCCAGGGUCAGGUUCAUGAUCCUCUGUGGGCCUUAAACAACAACGCCCUUGAUUUGAAGCACGGCUAAAUAUGCCAACACAGCCAUUUCCCUCCAUUCUGAAAUUUUUGUUUUAAAAUUAAAAUUUAAAGGAAUA